AAAAGGUAUCAUGUGGUGUAGAGGUUGGGUGAGAACGGGACGUGUUUCAUUAUUAUCAAGCAGGUACAAUAGCCACAAGGCUUAAGAAGUGAAUAAGGAUGAGAAAAAGUGACGUUAGAGUUCAGUCGAGUGUGCAUCUCCGACCCGGCAACAACUGUGGUGUACUAUUUGUCACCAUCAGCGUUCUUCCUAUUCGUAAUCGUAGUCAACAAUGGCGUCGUUCUGCUGUUGGUUAUCGUUGAUGGCUGUGCCGACCACUGGUGUACCGAUGUCUCCUGGGGAUGACGGAUACCAAACCGCAACGCCGCCGUCUUACUACAAAACAACAUCAAAUGCAACGACCAGUUACUUAACCGACGCUCCAAGUACUACACUGAGAAGGCCUAAUGUUACACAGCCACGUAUGCUGCCUCAGUUUACUACACCGAUGGAUCGAAGUAUUACUCUGCUCCAACUUACUACUAAACAGAGGCUUCUGACUACACCAAGAGUCCAAGACCCCCGAGUAUUACACCACAACCUACGCUUCUGCACCUUACUACACACGGAUAUAUCUGUAGUACUCCAUGCGUCACCAACUGCAGUCCUGAUCGUGCAACCGAUUCGCAAUCAUGCUUAAUUUUGCCGUCGUGCUGCUGUUGGGUGUUCUAUCGUUGCUGGCGGGUCGACCACCGGUGUACCGAACUCCUCCGAGGUUGGGUGAGAAAUACACGUGUUGCAGUGUUAUCAAGUGGGUGCAAUAGCCGUAAAGCUUAAGAGCUGGAUUAGGAUGAGAAAGUCGUAUAAAGGGAGAGGGAAAAGGGUAUCGAGAUCAGUCGAGUGAGCAUCUCCGACACGGCAACAACUGCAGCACAAUAUUUGUCAUCAACUGCAUUCUUCCAAUUCUCAAUCAUCGUUAAUUAUGGCGUCGUUCUGCGUCGGUUAUCGUCCAUUGCUGGGUUGAUCACUGUUAUAUCGGUGUUUCAUGGGAUGGCGGAUACCAAACCGCAACGUCGCCGCUUAACUACACAACAUCAUACGCAACAACCAGUUACUACACAGUCGCCCAUAAGUACUACUCCGAUCCAAGUUAUUAUACCGAGGCCUACAAGUACUAAACCACCGAGGCCCACAAGUACUACAGCACCAAGGCACCGGAGUGUUACACCACAACCUACGCUGCUACAGCAUACUGCACCAAGGCUCCCAAGCACUACACCACCAGAGAAAUGGAGUACUACACGACUACGUAUGUUCCCCAAGCUUACUACACCGAGGCUCACAAGUACCACUCUGCUACAGCGUACUACACCGGGACCCCCAAAUAUUACUCUGCACCCAACUACACAUCCACAACUGAGACAGUACAUAUUUACUACACAGCGGCCGCUUCAUCCCACUACGGUGAUCCGAAUUACUAUUCCGAGGUUCGCAGUUUACUACACCAAAAUCUACGCUGCCCCCAGCUACUACACUGAAGCUCCUGUUUACUACAAUACCGAGGCAUCUGAGUAUUAUAUCACUACUUACGCUUCUACCCCAGCUACUAUACCGAAGCUCCGAAGUAUUUCUCUGCUCCGAGUUACUACACCGCUAAGGCAUCUGAAUAUUACAUCACAACUUAUGCCUCUCCAGCUUACUUCAAGAAUACUUAAACCUAUCCUAAAUUUUUGUUAGUAGUGAUUCAAAUCAGAAUACAUUUUUUAAUGAGUAA